CAGUGUCUCUGAUAUUCAUGUUAAACUCUGAGUUUCUCCUCACCCUCCAGUACUCUACUCAUAAACUGUUUCCUGUCUGCAGAAUCCUUCAACCACGAGAACCAACAACCAACCAUCAAUGGACCUCUCUGCUCAGCUGCCUCACAGACUCAGUUCUACCUGCUCACCGUGUCCUCCGGCUCAGGAAGGACAAAGGAACGCCGCUCACCUCCCCAUGUCAUAGACACCAUCUGCAAACCCCGGUGCAGCCUCUCCUCUCUUCGUUCUCAACCUCUCUCCAACCCCUCUGCCUGCACGCCGACUACAGAUUCAUCCCCAUCUCUAAAUCAAUCACUUCCUCACACAAGACGUGUUUCCAGCACUUGGGUCCUUCUGGCCUCGUGAAACCAUGUCAACGACUUCAACAUGGACGGAGAUUCAGUUUCUGGACAGAAGAGGCAUUGCUGCUUCUGCAGGAACUCUGCAGCUGAUCUUCAGGUUCCAGAGACGACCACCUCCACACCUGAAGUCCAAUCGGACAGGAAGUGUCGACUACAUGAAGAGAGGAGCAGUGAAGACGUCAUCAAACCCCAUCAUAUUUGACAUCGUAUUAGAAAAUAAAUGAGACGAAAUGUCA